ACCACUACUAUUUCCGACAGUCCGUGAAGGCAGCCGCUCAAUCGGAAGGAUUCCUGUUAACGUCUCUGCUCAUGUAAAGCGACCUGAAUGCUUCAGCUUCGUCAACAUGGUCUUGAAUGUUUAUUCAGGCCGUUUCCAGUUUGAUCCCCACCUCGUAGCUUCCUCGCGGGCGUGCUAACACAUUCCUAAUGGAGUCUUUUAACGAGCCCAGCUAGCCUCGCUGCGGACAUUGUUUUCGUCGUAGCCACAAUCGGCUAACCAGUCGUUGUGUUAGCGAACAUGGCGAUUGUGUCUGGCUCCUGUGCCAGGGUGAACGGCUCCAGAAAUGGGCCUUCGGUGUCGGCCACGACAGCCUCUGGCUCCGUGGGGCAGUCUCAGCCCAUGAUAGCGGUCUGGGAGUGGCAGGACGACCUGGGCUACUGGCGGCCUUACAGCGGCCAGGUUAGCGCCUACAUCGAGCGGUGUCUGUCACCGCGCGGCCACCGGGGAGGCGGAGGAGCCGGCGCUACAAGCAUCUGCCUCGGACAGACGGACCCUAGCCUGUCGCCCUACCUCAUAGACAUACCGAGCCUGAAGCAGUUCCGACAGGACACAGGAAAGACGCGCUCCGUGCGUCGGUCCCUGUUCGCCCAGUCCUCUGGCCUCGGCAGCGGCGUCUACUGGGAAUGGGCCAACGACGAAGGCAGCUGGACUCCGUACGAGACCCGGACUUCCAUCCUGUUGGAGCACAGCUACCAGGCGCGCCAGGGCACGGCCGACCUCGGCCCCCACGGAUACAACUACAUCGUGGACCUCACGUCUCUGGCCCAGGUCAAUAAAUCAACGGGAUUCAGGCGGCAGGUGCGGCGGCAGUGCAACCUGCCCUACCCGCUGGCCUCCUCUGGGCCCCCGCCCCCCACCUGUUCCUGCCAGCAGUGUCUGAGCCACAGCAGCACAGGACCAAUGCCCAGCCGCUCGCGACAUUCCUUCUCCUCCAGUAGCCUGAACAGGCCCGUCCUCCAGGGGACGGGGAGGGUCGCUGCUGCUCACCCCGCUUCCGUCUACUCGCCCUACCCCAGGAGACCCCUCUCUGUGGGGGGGAUGUCUUGGGGCAGCCCCUGGCCGCCGCCCUCUGCUGGUCAGAUGUCUGCGCCUCAUCUGAGUGGCUCUCCAAGUGCUAACGGGUUAAGUGUUCCUUCCAUCUCUGUGCAGCUGAACGGCUCCACCAGCGUGAGCUCUGCCCUGGCAGGCAUGGCCUCCAUUUUGAUGUCAGCGGUGGGACUCGGCGUGCACUUCACCUCCGCCCCCCUCCCUCAGCAGCAGCAGCAGCCCCUGCAGCAGCAGCAGCAACAACCUGCUCCUUUUGCUCUUCCUCCUCCUCCUCCUCUCCUCCCCACAGCCAGCAGGCCCCACAGCAGCAGCAGCAGUUCAGUUAGGAGAGCAAAGAGGCAGCACAGGAGAGCGCCAGCCCAGAGGUCAGAAGACGUGAUCCAGCGCUACAUGGAGGUUGUGGCUGACGCUCCAGAGGAGGACUGCAUCAUCUGCAUGGAGCAGCUGUCCAACCCGUCCAGCUACGAGACGCCGCCGUCAGAGGAGGGAGGCCAGAGCAUCGUGCCGCAGGCCGUCGGGAAAUUCAUCAAGUGUGGACACACCCUGCACAUGCUCUGCAUGCUGGCCAUGUACAACAACGGAACAAAGGACGGCAGCCUGCAGUGUCCGUCCUGCAAGACCAUCUACGGAGAGAAGACCGGCACGCAGCCCAAAGGCAAGAUGGAGAUCUACAGCGUCGCUCAGUCCCUGCCUGGUCACCCCGACUGCGGCACCAUUCAGAUCAUCUACAGCAUCCCACCUGGGAUACAGGCCCCGGAGCAUCCCAACCCAGGACAGCCGUUCACCUGCAGGGGGUUUCCUCGCUUCUGUUUCCUCCCCGACAACGACAAGGGCAGGAAGGUAAAACAUGGAGACGAUGUCUGCGUCACGCUGGGAUUCAAUCUGAGCCCAUCAUAACCGAUGUGGGCUGUCGCUGCAGAUCUAACACACAGUCAUCACAUCCACUUCUACAGUCAUCAGUCUCUGAACAUUCAGUUCUCUCUGUCCAACUGGUCAGUGGCAUUAUUACACAGGUCAGGACCUUCUGACCUUCACAGCCUGGAAGCAGCAUGUUGGUAACAACAGUGGAUAAUCUGUGAUUCAGGAAGUCGCUAAUCUGACUUCCCUGUUUUAUUUUGUGAAAAGUGAAAUCAACGUAAAGGUUUGGUGAAAUUAUCAGCUGAAUAAGCGCAAUAACCAAUAAAUCAAUUAAUCAUACGAUAAAUUAAAAUGAGCUCGAUAAUUUCCAUUUACAUGAUUUACCGUUUUUCCUCUUUUCUGUCUUUCUACCAGAAACUGCAUAACGAAAGUCUUCAGUCUGGUGCUUUGAUCUCAGCUAGCACUUAUUUGAAGGACACUUUUGUUAAAAUAAUAAUAAUAAUAAUAAUAAUUCAUUCUAUUUGUUGAUUCUGUUUGGGUUCAUUAUUAUUAUUUAAAGCGUCUUCCGGUUCCAGUUUUAAAUCUUCAUUCGAAUUUAAGUUUUAUUGAUCUUAGAUAAUGUGUUCUUGCUUUAUUAUACCUUUAUCUUGACAUUAUUUAAAUGAUCUCAAAACAACAUUGUUAUUGUUUAUCACAAUAACUUCUGGGACAAUUUAUCAUCCAGCAAAAUGUUCCACGGUGUCAGGUCAGCUGGUUAAUCAGGUCAGCUGGUUAAUCAGGUCAGCUGGUUCAGCUGGUUAAUCAGGUCAGCUGGUUCAGCUGGUUAAUCAGGUCAGCUGGUUAACCAGGUCAGCUGGUUAAUCAGGUUAUCGUGUGAAAACGAGACCAGCUGUCAAAUCUGAGUAGAAUGAAUUAUUGCGAUGGUUGAAGGUUUAAACACAUGAAAAUAAAGUUUAUUAUGAUGGUCAGCAGUUGCAGCUGGAGUCCAAACCCUGACAACGUGCUAAUGAGUAGAACAAUGGAGUGAAAUGUUGAACAUUAUAGGCAACGAGUCAUUUUAUGUCCAGGCCUGUAGGUCAUAUCUGAGCAGACUAUGUGCUAUUUCUUAAAAUGUGUAAAAGGUAAAUAAAAAAUGUUAAUUGCAUGAUGUCAGUAACAUGUUUUUUGAGGAAUAUGAAAUGAUUAAAACUUUUAAUUACAAAGAUAUUGCAAAAAAAAAAA